GUAACAAUUAGCUCCCCUGCCCUUUGGCUUCUGGAUGAUUUGACCAAUGAAGGUACCAGCAGGAAAACAGCAUAGGAGGAGAGAGAGAUCUGUGGAUUUGCUCCCCUAGCUCUCUUGCUGCUAGCCGUGGUUUGGCAGUGCCCUGAUGCCUCCCCUAAAGACACAGGUCCUGUUGGGGGCCUUCUCCUACAGCUACAGGUCUCGUCAGGUCCAGUAUCUUGUCCUGGAUCUUCUUUCUCUCCGUUUUCGCUCCUGGACUCACCUCCCUGGGGGACUGCCAAGGCCUAAGGUACCUGCUUCUCUGGAGACUUCACCAUGACCUGCAAGGUCCCUCCUUGAGGAAGUACGUUGCUGCUGGUUGAUCCCAACUCCUUCCCAACUUCUCCCUGUGCGGGGAUGGGGAGGUAGAGGAAUGGAAGAAAAGAAGAAAAUUCCAGAGCAAAAGUUGGAAUUUUGUACCGGAUCAAGACACUUGAGCCUUAAAAUGGGGGUGACUGUCCCUUCUCUGCCCACUUUGGAGAAAUAGUCAAUCAAACGAGAAAAUGCUGCCAACUUGUUUGAUAAAUUGCUAAGGAAUUUUCUAAGACCAGAUCGUGUGAUUUCUUCCCCCCCCUUUGUGUAGAGACUUGAAAGCCCAAGUCACCCUGGCUGGGCUGUUACAAGAGAGCAUUUCCCUUGUUUUUUAGGCUUAAGGAAAAGUAACUCAGCUUGAGGAAGAAAACACCAUUUCAUGAAGUCUUAGCCUUCAUUCUUUUCCAUGCCCUUUUGAGC
rnacentral:lncRNA from 1 species